UUGACAUUCGAAAAAAAUUAGUAACGUAUCGUUCCAAAUUUCCUCUAAAUUUUAAAUAAAUAUUACAACGUCUGCUGGGAAUUAAAUGGAAUUGUAUGUCUCGACAAUGAAUCUAGUUCUGAUCCUCUGCGAUUUAGUUUUGGUUGCGAUUCUUUUCUUAGCUCAAAAGAAGGAACGGUUCUUGUCUAGAGAAAUGUAACGAUCAAACUUCAAAAAAAAAAAAUUGUUAGUGGGAUAAUCAAAUCAAGAGUAUGCGCUGGCCUCAGGAGUUUCCACCACUUGGACGAAGUGUUACAUGUGUUAUACAAGUUGUGCAAUCCGGUGGGAUUAAUUUUCGAAGAAGAAAGUUCGACCCAAAUGAAUUCGUUGUUUAUUAUUAUUUCAAUAAAAUUCCAAUAGUAGAAAUAGAAAUGACUCCUAAGCA